AUCCUUUUUUGUCUCAUAAGCAUGAUGAUUGAGUUUUCACACUGUUGUGUGUGAUGUUCCUCCUUCACACCUUGUUACAAUGUCAUCAUAUUAACUCUCUGACA
ensembl:snoRNA